UAGUAAUAUUAAUUACGAAAGCAAAAAAUUAUGGCGGUAUUUUAAGCUUUUCAGAGGAAUUUGCUCUUUAAUGGAUAAAACACCUAAAUCUUACUUAAAUUUGUUAAGUCAAUUUGUAUACCACUAUUAAAUUAAUUAUUAAUUUUAAUUUAUAAAAUUUAUGCAAAUUUAAAAAAAAUUAAGUCAAGGUGCAGUAAAAAUUUAAGAAUGAAGUGAAUUACAUUUCUUUUAAGAGAUUAUUAAAAUUAAAAUUUUAAUUUAGGAUUUGAAAGUAAAAUUAAAAUAGAAUGUUAAUU
rnacentral:rRNA from 1 species